rnacentral:rRNA from 1 species
CCUACGGGAGGCUGCAGUGGGGAAUAUUGGACAAUGGGGGGAACCCUGAUCCAGCCAUGCCGCGUGUGUGAAGAUGGCCCUCGGGUUGUAAAGCACUUUCAGUGAGGAAGAACGCCUGGUGGUUAAUACCCAUCAGGAAAGACAUCACUCACAGAAGAAGCACCGGCUAACUCCGUGCCAGCAGCCGCGGUAAUACGGAGGGUGCGAGCGUUAAUCGGAAUUACUGGGCGUAAAGCGCGCGUAGGUGGCUUGAUAAGCCGGUUGUGAAAGCCCCGGGCUCAACCUGGGAACGGCAUCCGGAACUGUCAAGCUAGAGUGCAGGAGAGGAAGGUAGAAUUCCCGGUGUAGCGGUGAAAUGCGUAGAGAUCGGGAGGAAUACCAGUGGCGAAGGCGGCCUUCUGGACUGACACUGACACUGGGGUGCGAAAGCGUGGGUAGCAAACAGGAUUAGAUACCCUUGUAGUC